rnacentral:rRNA from 1 species
UACGGAGGGUGCAAGCGUUGUCCGGAAUCAUUGGGCGUAAAGCGCACGUAGGCGGCUCUUUAAGUCUCUUGGUGAAAGGCUGGGGCUCAACCCCAUGCAUGCCGGGGAUACUGGGGAGCUGGAGACAGGUAGAGGCCAGCGGAAUUCCGGGUGUAGCGGUGGAAUGCGUAGAGAUCCGGAAGAACACCGGUGGCGAAGGCGGCUCGCUGGGCAGUGGCUGACGCUGAGGCGCGACAGCGUGGGGAGCAAACAGG